GCCGAAGUGGUGGAAUUGGUAGACACGCUGUCUUGAGGGGGCAGUGACCUCAGGGUCGUGCCGGUUCAAAUCCGGCCUUCGGCA
rnacentral:tRNA from 1 species